CCUACGGGGGGCUGCAGUUGGGAAUCUUGCACAAUGGGGGAAACCCUGAUGCAGCGACGCCGCGUGGAGGAAGAAGGGUCUAGGCUCGUAAACUCCUUUUUCAGGGAAAGACUUAGGACGGUACCCUGAGAAUAAGCUCCGGCUAACUCCGUGCCAGAAGCCGCGGUAAGACGGAGGGAGAGAGCGUUGUCCGGAUUUACUGGGCGUAAAGAGCACGUAGGCGGUCUGUUAAGUGAGAAGGGAAAUCUCCAGCGCGACACGAGGAAACGGCUUUUCAUACUGGCAGACUUGAGGGAUGCAGAGGCAAGUAGAAUUCCUGGUGUACCGGUGACAUGGGGUGAUAUCAGGAGGAAUACCAAUGGCGAAGGCAGCUUGCUGGGCAUCAUCUGACGCUGAGGUGCGAAAGCGUGGGUAGCAAACAGGAUUAGAUACCCCAGUAGUC
rnacentral:rRNA from 1 species